UAACUCAAAAAAUACUAAUAUUGAGUUAGUGUCGUUUUCGAAAUCCCGGCAUGAACACCUACGCGGAGUUAAAACUCCCGUAACGAUAGCUUCGACCGUUGUCGAAAGAUGGCGCGAAACAUUGCUUUAUCUGAAUGACCUUACCCUGGAUGGCGCGAAUCAUAGUCCGCCAUUUUUAGUUGUCUCCUCUCUAUCUUGAGAGACAAAAAAUUGUAUAGUGGCAUAUUUUGAGUUGCUGGAGUUUAUGUGAAGUUAAUAAGUAUCGCCCGUCCACAGCGGCGAAGGAAGCGAUUUUGACGACUCGGACGCAGAUCCAAACUACAAAAAUCUUUUUUACCGAAACGAAAAAUAAUUUUCUCCCCUUUGCGUAAGUCUCCUACUACUUUCCCAUUACCUCGACCUCGCUCUCUGACAUCGUCGUCUACCAGUUCGAGGUCAUCAAGCAGCUCAAACAGCAGCUCCAGCAG
rnacentral:misc_RNA from 1 species